GGGGCAUUGCUGAAAUUUCUUCAUCCCGCUCUACCAAGUGUUGUCUCUGGUGCUACUGAAGGGCCAUCAACAUCGUCUUCGUCACAUGUUUAUGAGGAGGAGCAAGUGGAAGACAACAUUGCGGCGUCCACACCACUUCCCAGCAGUGGUUCAACAGAAGCAGUGCCAUCAACUCCAUCACGACUUGAGGAGGAGCAAGUGGAAGCAUCCACACCACUUCCCAGCAGUGGUUCAACAGAAGUGCCAUCAACUCCAUCUCCACUUCAUGAGGAGGACAAAGAGGAAGAUGACAUUGACAUGGCAGAGACCACCCCACCAUCCAGAACUGGGGUACCUGUAGGUAUUGCAAGCACCACAUUAAGUGAUGACCCAGGAUGUUGGCCCAGUGUCCUAACAAGCAGUAUGCGCUGUGAAAUAGUCAAAAAAGGACCUGUGCAAAUCAUGGACAUUGAAUUCCCGCAAAACUUAGACAAUCCUCCUCGAAGAUU